UUGUGUGGGUAGNGGGACGUCCACCAAGGCGACGAUCAGUAGCCGGCCUGAGAGGGUGAACGGCCACAUUGGGACUGAGACACGGCCCAAACUCCUACGGAAGGCAGCAG
rnacentral:rRNA from 1 species